rnacentral:rRNA from 1 species
GGGUCGUAAACUUCUUUUAUAUGGGAAUAAAGUUUUCCACGUGUGGAGUUUUGUAUGUACCAUAUGAAUAAGGAUCGGCUAACUCCGUGCCAGCAGCCGCGGUAAUACGGAGGAUCCGAGCGUUAUCCGGAUUUAUUGGGUUUAAAGGGAGCGUAGGUGGAUUGUUAAGUCAGUUGUGAAAGUUUGCGGCUCAACCGUAAAAUUGCAGUUGAAACUGGCAGUCUUGAGUACAGUAGAGGUGGGCGGAAUUCGUGGUGUAGCGGUGAAAUGCUUAGAUAUCACGAAGAACUCCGAUUGCGAAGGCAGCUCACUAGACUGUUACUGACACUGAUGCUCGAAAGUGUGGGUAUCAAACAGGAUUAGAUACCCUGGUAGUCCACACAGUAAA